GGGGGUGCGCCAGCGUUGGAGAGCUGGACCGGUUUGUAAAACCGACGCCAUUGGCUUAGUGGGUUCGAAUCCCUCUGCCCCCACCA
rnacentral:tRNA from 1 species